AAAAUUAUCCGAGACAACACGCUUUUGUAGAUAACGGAAUUCUAAUGAGGAAAUUCCGACGAAUAUAUCAGCGGACACGAUCCUAAUCAGACGAGUUACAAACGAGUCGUGAGAAUAUGAAUAAACGAGGAAACAGAUAUUCCCUCAACAUCGAUACGUACGUAUCUACGAUCCGGUGUUUUUUUUUUUUUUUCUCGCGAAAGAAAGAAGGCGUUACGCGGGAGGCAUCGGCGAGUCAGUGGUGCGUGACUAUCGGCCGCUCGAUUCAACUUGCAAUUGCUGAUUCUAGUUAAUCUCGCCGUCUCCUCCUCCUUCUCCUUCUUCUCCUUCUUUUCCUGCUCCACCCAUCUACCUUGGUAUCAAAAAGACCAGUCGUCCUUCGAAAGUUCGGUAUUAAAAGGCGACGACAGAACGAGGAAUAACAAAGAUCGGUGUAGAUGCGGACAGCAAGAAUUUGAAGACGAUAAGGUGAUUUGAGGACACCGGGCACAAUUUGUCGAAAUGGCCGGAUAUUCUCCGUUUGCGACGCCGUUUCUGAUCGCAUUCGCGAUAUUUCUCGCGAAUAUUCGUGAGAAUCACGCUUACGAUCCUCCGGCAGCCACGGUAGAGCCGCUCUUUCCCACUGGAUUGCGCGUGUCCAUCCCCGACGAGGAGGGAAUCACACUGGUGGCCUUUCACAUAAAGUUCAACGAGGACUUCGACGGCCUGGAAGCGGGGCACAUUGCGAAGGACAUUCUCAAGGUUCGCAAUGAACGAUGGAUUUAUGAGGAUCGAAAUACCAGGCUGAAGAGGGACGACAUCAUUUAUUAUUGGGUCCACGUUGUGUAUCGAGGACUCGGUUACAAUUUAAUUGAUCAGUCGCACCAAGUUGUCGAUUUUUACAAUCCCGACGGCACGCUGCACAUCACCGAUAUACUUCAGCAUAACUGUACGACAAAAUCGGCGACGUGGAUCUUCAAGAACGGCACACGACAGCAACUUUGCCCACGUGAGCUCUUGUUCGAGGAUAACUUCGACAGUAUUGACAGCGCAAAAUGGAAUUCGAAUCAACGUUUCAUUGGCCCGCCGAAUUACGAGUUUGUCGUCUACAUGACCGAUGAUGUAACAGACGUGAGCAACGGACGGCUACGCAUCAAGCCAAUCCUGACCAACGACAAAUUCGGCACGGAUUUCGUGUCGCAAGGAAGAUUGGUCUUGGAGCAUUGUACCGGUCAGGCUGAUACGGACGAGUGUCAACGCCAAGCAGCCGGUUCGUACAUCCUGCCGCCUGUGGUCUCUGGACGCUUAGAUACGCGAGGCAAGUUUGAGUUCUUGUUCGGACGUAUCGAGAUACGAGCCAAGUUGCCGCGCGGCGAUUGGGUGUAUCCCAUUAUUACCCUGACAAGCUCAGAGAGCGAGCAGGAGCACGGAAUGUACCGUGAGAUCAGGAUUGCUUCGUCGGUUGGUAACGAGGAACUGAGGAACGCCGACAACAAGAAUGUCGGCAAUCGCAUUCUGUACGCGGGUGGACUAGUCACUACCGUGAACUCACCGAGCAGCAGUCAAUCGACACUUUCGAAGAGACCGUCGAGUAAAUCCUGGUCGAGUGAUUAUCACAUAUUCCAAGUCGACUGGAAGAGCGGUCUCAUCGUCGUAAAGGUCGACGGUGUUCAAUACGGCGAGCAGACCGUGGACGUGGCGUUCGGCAAACGGUCGUACUUGACCCUGGGCGUAGCUGUGGGUGGUAUUCACGAAUUCGAGGAUCUUUCCACCAGCAGCGGUUAUGUCAAGCCGUGGCGAAACGUCGAGGCGAAGGCGAUGUACAAUUUCUAUCGUGCGAAGGAUUCUUGGUACCCCACAUGGCAAAUGCAAACGGCGCUCGAAGUGGAUUACGUGAAAGUGUGGGCGCUGUGAACACUUCAACGGGAGCUUUUCAUGGGGGUUUUUGUGUUACUAUCACACAUAUACAUGCUUGCAGUUUUGUACUCGAGAAUUGUUUCCGCAUCUCUGUUUUACGAGCUUUAAGAGCACCUUGAUGCCAUUCUUAUCACGUUACGAAGAUAACUAAAAAAAAUCAUCGGGUCAAUAAAAACUUUUACACGACGGCGAUUUAUAUACAUGGCAUACCGAGUCACUCGAUAUCUUCGUCUCUCUUCGUGCUUCUGUACAACUGUUGAGAUAGAAUAAGAUAUCGGGGGAAAACCCGAUUAGUGAAA